AUUGAACGCUGGCGGCAGGCCUAACACAUGCAAGUCGAACGAGUGGCGGACGGGUGAGUAAUGUAUGGGAAACUGCCUGAUGGAGGGGGAUAACUACUGGAAACGGUAGCUAAUACCGCAUACCAUCGGAUGUGCACAGAUGGGAUUAGCUCGUAGGUGGGGUAACUGCUCACCUAGGCGACGAUCACUCUCUGGGCUGAGAGGAUGACCAGCCACAAUGGAACUGAGACACGGUCCAGACUCAGACGGGGGGCAGCAGUGGGCAGUAUUGCCCUAUGGGGGCAAGCCUGAUGCAGCCAUGCCGCGUGUAUGAAGAAGGCCUGCGGGUAGUAAAGUACUUGCAGCGGGGAGGCGUUACCCGCAGAGUAAGCACCGGCUAACUCCGUGCCAGCAGCCGCGGUAAUUC
rnacentral:rRNA from 1 species